rnacentral:rRNA from 1 species
AUUGAACGCUGGCGGAAUGCUUUACACAUGCAAGUCGAACGGCAGCACGGACUUCGGUCUGGUGGCGAGUGGCGAACGGGUGAGCAAUGUAUCGGAACGUGCCCAGUCGGGGGGGAUAACGUAGUGAAAAUUACGCUAAUACCGCAUACGAUCUAUGAAUGAAAGCGGGGGAUCGCAAGACCUAGCGCGAUUUGAGCGGCCGAUAUCAGAUUAGGUAGUUGGUGGGGUAAAGGCCCACCAAGCCAACGGUUUGUAGCUGGUCUGAUAGGACGACCAGCCACACUGGAACUGAGACACGGUCCAGACUCCUACGGGAGGCAGCAGUGGGGAAUUUUGGACAAUGGGCGAAAGCCUGAUCCAGCCAUUCCGCGUGCAGGAUGAAGGCCCUCGGGUUGUAAACUGCUUUUGUACAGAACGAAAAGGUCUCUACUAAUACCAGGAGCUCAUGACGGUACUGUAAGAAUAAGCACCGGCUAACUACGUGCCAGCAGCCGCAGUAA